CGUGUGGUUCUAUUUUGUUGGUUUCUAGGACCGCCGUAAUGAUUAAUAGGGACAGUCGGGGGCAUCAGUAUUCAAUUGUCAGAGGUGAAAUUCUUGGAUUUAUUGAAGACUAACUACUGCGAAAGCAUUUGCCAAGGAUGUUUUCAUUAAUCAGGAACGAAAGUUAGGGGAUCGAAGACGAUCAGAUACCGUCGUAGUCUUAACCAUAAACUAUGCCGACUAGGGAUCGGACGAUGUUACAUUUUUGACGCGUUCGGCACCUUACGAGAAAUCAAAGUGCUUGGGCUCCAGGGGGAGUAUGGUCGCAAGGCUGAAACUUAAAGAAAUUGACGGAAGGGCACCACCAGGGGUGGAGCCUGCGGCUUAAUUUGACUCAACACGGGGAAACUCACCAGGUCCAGA
rnacentral:rRNA from 1 species